GAUGAACGCUAGCUACAGGCUUAACACAUGCAAGUCGCGGGGCAGCAUGGGGGUUGCUUGCCAGCCCCGAUGGCGACCGGCGCACGGGUGAGUAACGCGUAUUCAACCUGCCCUUCACCACGGGAUAACCCGGCGAAAGUCGGACUAAUACCGUAUGUUGUCCAUUGACGGCAUCCGAUUUGGACGAAAGGCUUGGCGGUGAGGGAGGGGGAUGCGUCCGAUUAGCCAGACGGCGGGGUAACGGCCCACCGUGGCUACGAUCGGUAGGGGUUCUGAGAGGAAGGUCCCCCACACUGGAACUGAGACACGGUCCAGACUCCUACGGGAGGCAGCAGUGAGGAAUAUUAGUCAAUGGGCGUAAGCCUGAACCAGCCAAGUAGCGUGCAGGAGGACGGCCCUAUGGGUUGUAAACUGCUUUUAUGCGGGGAUAAAGUGGCCCACGUGUGGGCUUUUGCAGGUACCGCAUGAAUAAGGACCGGCUAAUUCCGUG
rnacentral:rRNA from 1 species